rnacentral:lncRNA from 1 species
UCUUACUCAAUCAACUUUAAAACAUAGAAACAGAGAUAGAAAGGAGAAGGGAUCGACUUGAGCAAUAUUUGUUUAAUUAGUUCGAUUUGCAAAAUAGUUACAAGUUGAAUUCAAGCUGUAACAGCAAAAGGGAACUCCACCGCGAACCUCAAACAAUGACGAACUCAGAGCGACAAACGACGACCUAAAGUCUUGUUCUGUUUCUCUGAUUAUAUCAAUGGAUCGAUCAUCCAAGACGAACUCGAGCUCAAUCGAAAUGUGUAUGUUCGGGUGUUGUUUUGGACUAAUUUUUGGAAGAAGGGGUGAAGGAGUUAUGUUUUCCUAGGAGUCACGGCUGUGUAUGGUCGUGGUCAGGGGUGGUUGGCGAGUUUGAGUGUAGAGGGAGCGACUAGUGAUGGGGUCUGGGCUCGUUUGGUCGUCGAUGUGAUGAGAGGUGGUAUUGAAGGGUGGUCUGGAUCAUCAGUUCUUGAAAAGAGCAGGCACCGAUGGAGGAACAGUCGUUUAGAAGUGGGAUGGUUAGAAGAAGAUGAUCUUCAUGGGGGGCCGCUUUUGGGCGCAGCUCUCCUCCUCAGCCUGUCCAGUCACUC